AGAAGGGUCUGUGUUUUAGAAGAUCCCAGCAGAUUUCUGCCUGCUGCUGUGUUUCUUUCCCAUUAUAUUUAACCCUUGCAAAUCCCUGUUAUUCCAAAUAGUCUCUUUGUUAUUUAAAAGGAGAGAAAUUAGUUUCACAAACCUCCCAUGCAGAAAACUUUACGUCACUCAGUCCUGUCAGCCUCCUGGAAACGAUGACUGGAAGGGUGGAGAGCAGGACGGGCGUUGGGCCGGAGAACUGGUAAGCGGCACAGCCGGCUCUCAGGGCUCCAGGGCCCCAGCUUUUCUACUCAGUUCAGGUUUUGUUUUAUCUCCUUCCUCCCAGAUCCUCAAUGAUGUUAAUCCCUGUUUAUUAACCACACAUCGCCCUUUUGGAGUGUUUUUCAUCUGCAAAGACAAUCAGUGGCAGCCUCUUAGAGCUGGAUAUUUCCUGCCUUAUUUUGAAUCAAUGACUUCAUACCUGCUGCUGUAAAUUGGCUGUGACUAACAAGUGUCACUUCGAGCCUCAGUUUCUCCUGCCCACUUUCAAAGGCCACCAGCUUCUGCUGUGAUUGAUCCAGACCCUUAGUCCCCCUGAUCAUUAUUAUCUGCAUAUGGGGAAACCGAGGCAGAAAAGUUAAGUGAUUUGCACAAGUCCACAGAAAAUGGCAGUCUGAGACACGAUUAACGCAAUUAGAAUAAACGAGUCCCUUCACUAAUACUAUUUGUGAUAAGUUUUAACUGAAUGUACAACAGUUUCUGACUGCUCCUUCCUCACAACAGUGAAACUCGUGACAAUAUUGAUUUGCGGUUAGAGACGAGAGCUGUGAAUCAGGACUCCUGGGUUCUGCUCUUGGCUCUGACACUGACUUGCUGCAUGGCUUUGGCCAAGUCACUUCACCUCAUUGUGGCCCAGCAUGUACCUAGCAGCGAAAAGGCGGUAACAGCACUUCACUGUCUCACAGGGAUGUUGUGAGUGUGUGUGCUUUGAGAGCCUCAGGCAAGAGAUGCCACAUGAAGACUAAGAAUAACAUUUUUAUUGGAGCUGGUCAGAAAAUGGUUCUUUCCCCCUUAGGAAAAAUGUCAAAUUUGCAGCAAAAAAUCAGUAUUUGAAAUAUUUUAGCCAAAACCUGGAAAUUUUCAAUUGUUUGCCUCGGGGAACACAGCCUGGAAAGAGCUUAGAGAAGAAGUCUGGAAAAAUCAACUCCUCUGCUUGCCCACCAAACAGUGGCCUCAAGCAAGCAGGGGAUUGUGAGUCUGAACUCCUGGUCUCUUCUCUCAGCUUGGGGCAGAGUGGUUAGAGCAGUGAGACUGGGAUUCAGGGCUGUUGUGUUAUACACAAUCUCUACUCCUGACUGGCUGUGUAACCCUGAGCAGCUUGUAUGAUACGCUGCUUUGAAAGGACAACGUUCUAUGAAUUCCUAUCGAUGUUUGAAGAGACGUUUUUCCUCCACAGCCCGUGGGUGUAUGUGUGUGAGAGAGGAAUGUAUGUACAUCAGUGUUUGUGAAGCACUUGGAGACCCUUGGCUAGGACAGGGCAGUACUAGGCCAAUAAAUAAUAACAAUAAAGGACUGAAGCUUAAGAGAUGUCUCCGUUUGAGCAGCGCACAGUGGAUUCCAGCAGACCCGUAGCUAGUGAUGUGCCACUUGGCAUUUAAUGUUCAGAGCCUACUUCACCCUGGUAUUUCAAAAUGCAGCAGUUCUCGGUUUAUAAGGUUAGUUCCUUUCCUUCCCCCAGCUCCCCCACGGAACAGGAAACUGACUCAGACUUAUCCAGAUAAUCCUCUCCUGCCAGUUUCCGGAAAAGGAGGGCUGCUUAGUUUACAGCCAAACUUAUCAACGCAGCCAGAAGCUGCUAUUAGAGACACAGGAUGUACUGGUUUGUGAGACAGUCUGGCACUCUGGCCACGGAGAGUGGAGAGGCUGCAGGGUGGGGGGAUAUUUGGUACUUGUGCCGUUAUUUUUUAUUCAUGAACUCAGCCAGGAGCCACUCCUGGAAGCAAAGCCCUGUAGAAGAAAUGCCCCUGGUGGCAGAGCAGGGCAGACCCUGCAGGAAAUGCUGUUUGAACAGUCAUUGUGAUGUUCCAGGAAGCACAUCCACAUUUCUUUCCUGAGGAGUGACUUGUUGGAAGGAUGACGAUGCUCAUCUACUCAUCAGAGAAUCUGUGCAGCCUUCUGUGUGGCAGCUAGAGCCACGUGCAGAUUCCCCUGUUUAUACAUCCAAGGAUCGCAUUAUCUCUUCUGACCACAGUAUUGUACUAGGAGCUCAUGUUCAGCUGAUUAUCCACCACGACCCCCAAAUCUCUCUCCAAGUCACGGCUUUCCAGGAGAGAGGCCCCCACUGUAUGCACCCUACACUAUUCCUGUUUUCUUUUCCUCGCUUAUAACGUAACAUGAAAAAGAUACCAGCAGUUACUUACAGUAGAACGAUUUGCUUCAUAGCAGAUGCAUCAGAAAGUUGUUAGUACACAACGAGAUCUUUCGUUCCCCUGAGUGUUCAAGGAGGAGUGAAAUGUUUCUACAAUUUAUUUUUAAUCCCAAUAAAAAUUCACCUACACUUUUUGUAACCACGAACAUCAAAGCAGGAACAACCUGAGAGUGAAACUGACUAAAAUCACUAAAAACAAGAGUGUUGCAGGCUGCUCCUUGGGCAUGCUGACAGAGACGCAAACAACCCACAAAGAGCUUAAUACAGUUCUGACUGGACUUCAUCUGUUCCCUCUCAGGCCACGUCUACACGUACAGCACUGCAGCUGUACCAAUGCGCUGCAGUGCGUCUGGUGAAGAUGUUCUAUGCCGAUGUGAUGCUGUGUAUAAGAACGGUGACCAUUUAUAUCACUGUUACCACUGUCACAAUUUCCAUAGAUCUUAUACAGUUUGUAUCAUGUAAGGUGUCAGUGGAAAAGUUGCUUCAAAAACUUCAAAAACAAACUUCAAAGAGAAACUGCAGAGCUACAAUUCAUUUGCAAACUUAACACCAUCAAUUUGGGCUUGAACAGAG